GAUGAAGAACGUAGUGAAAUGCGAUAAGUAAUGUGAAUUGCAGAAUUCAGUGAAUCAUCGAAUCUUUGAACGCACAUUGCGCCCCCUGGUAUUCCGGGGGGCAUGCCUGUUCGAGCGUCAUUUCACCACUCAAGCCUCGCUUGGUAUUGGGCAACGCGGUCCGCCGCGUGCCUCAAAUCGACCGGCUGGGUCUUCUGUCCCCUAAGCGUUGUGGAAACUAUUCGCUAAAGGGUGCUCGGGAGGCUACGCCGUAAAACAAACCCAUUUCUAAGGUUGACCCCGGAUCAGGUAGGGAUACCCGCUGAACUUAAGCAUAUCAAUAAGCGGAGGA
rnacentral:misc_RNA from 1 species